rnacentral:rRNA from 1 species
CGUAGGGUGCGAGCGUUAAUCGGAAUUACUGGGCGUAAAGCGUGCGCAGGCGGUCAUGCAAGACGGAUGUGAAAUCCCCGGGCUCAACCUGGGAACUGCAUUCGUGACUGCAUGACUGGAGUGUGGCAGAGGGGAAUGGAAUUCCGCGUGUAGCAGUGAAAUGCGUAGAUAUGCGGAGGAACACCGAUGGCGAAGGCAGUUCCCUGGGCCUGCACUGACGCUCAUGCACGAAAGCGUGGGGAGCAA